rnacentral:rRNA from 1 species
UACGAAGGGGGCUAGCGUUGUUCGGAAUUACUGGGCGUAAAGCGCACGUAGGCGGACUAUUAAGUCAGGGGUGAAAUCCCGGAGCUCAACUUCGGAACUGCCUUUGAUACAGCACGUCUUGAGUCCGGAAGAGGUGGGUGGAAUUCCUAGUGUAGAGGUGAAAUUCGUAGAUAUUAGGAAGAACACCGGUGGCGAAGGCGGCCCACUGGUCCGGUACUGACGCUGAGGUGCGAAAGCGUGGGGAGCAAACAGG